UACGUAGGCAGCGAGCGUUGUUCGGAGUUACUGGGCGUAAAGCGUGCGUAGGCGGUGUCUUAAGUUUGUUGUGAAAUCUCCCGGCUUAACCGGGAGGGUGCGGCGAAUACUGAGAUGCUGGAGUGCGGGAGAGGUAAGCGGAAUUCCCGGUGUAGCGGUGAAAUGCGUAGAUAUCGGGAAGAACAUCGGUGGCGAAAGCGCUCUACUGGACGGCAACUGACACUCAGGGACGAAAGCUAGGGGAGCGAAUGGG
rnacentral:rRNA from 1 species